UACGGAGGAUGCGAGCGUUAUCCGGAAUCAUUGGGUUUAAAGGGUGCGUAGGCUGGUAUUUAAGUCAGUGGUGAAAUUUUCGUGCUUAACAUGAGAGCUGCCAUUGGUACUGGGUACCUAGAGUGUAUUUGAUGUGGGCGGAAUGUGUUGUGUAGCGGUGAAAUGCUUAGAUAUGACACAGAACACCGAUAGCGAAGGCAGCUCACAAAGUUACAACUGACGCUGAUGCACGAAAGCGUGGGGAUCAAACAGG
rnacentral:rRNA from 1 species